rnacentral:rRNA from 1 species
GAUAAACGCUAGCGGCAGGCUUAACACAUGCAAGUCGAGGGGCAGCAUAGAUUGUAGCAAUACAAUUGGUGGCGACCGGCGCACGGGUGCGUAACGCGUAUGCAACCUACCCGUCACAGGGGGAUAAUCCGGAGAAAUCUGGUCUAAUACCCCAUAACAUAUGGAUCGGCAUCGGUUCAUGUUGAAAUUUUCGGAGGUGACGGAUGGGCAUGCGUAGCAUUAGCUUGUUGGUGAGGUAACGGCUCACCAAGGCGACGAUGCUUAGGGGGACUGAGAGGUUUUCCCCCCACACUGGUACUGAGACACGGACCAGACCCCUACGGGAGGCAGCAGUGAGGAAUAUUGGUCAAUGGGCGCAAGCCUGAACUAGCCAUGCCGCGUGCAGGAUGACGGCUCUAUGAGUUGUAAACUGCUUUUGUACGAGGGUAAAGUGGGUUACGUGUAACCUUUUGAAAGUAUCGUACGAAUAAGGAUCGGCUAACUCCGUGCCAGCAGCCGCGGUAA